GGCACUGUUUUUUUUGUGUGUGGCUACAUUGAGACACAGGUUAUGCUUCCAUCACAGUAAUCUUAUUACAGUGGUGACAAUGAGACCUGUAACAUUU